GGCACAAAGAAGGAAGAAGGCGCAAGUCACUCAAAGGCACAAUCAUCACAAGAUCGCGGUAAAUCUCUUGCUUGAAUGCGGCGCACCCGAACCGAACACACACACGAAACGUCGACUCUAAGCGCUUCCGGUCCAAGUUGUUUGUUUGAUGGGUUAACUUACCAUUUUGAUUAGUAAAUGUUAUUUUGUAAGUGUCUAGUUUGUUAGUAGGAAGUUUGGAUACUAAACUUUGUGUAGUUUGUACAAAAGGUUCAUGGCGAACCAUAUACGGUCUUAACUUUGAUUAUGUUGGAAAGUGUCGUAGUAUUAAUAGUAA